CGCGUAGGAAUCUGCCCACGGGUGGGGGACAACAUGGGGAAACUCAUGCUAAUACCGCAUACGCCCUGAGGGGGAAAGCGGGGGACCUUCGGGCCUCGCGCCGGUGGAUGAACCUACGUCGGAUUAGCUAGUUGGUGUGGUAAAGGCUCACCAAGGCGACGAUCCGUAGCUGGUCUGAGAGGAUGAUCAGCCACACUGGGACUGAGACACGGCCCAGACUCCUACGGGAGGCAGCAGUGGGGAAUAUUGGACAAUGGGUGCAAGCCUGAUCCAGCAAUGCCGCGUGUGUGAAGAAGGCCUGCGGGUUGUAAAGCACUUUAAGCAGGGAGGACGGGAUGCGGGGCUAAUACCCUUGCGUUGUGACGUUACCUGCAGAAUAAGCACCGGCUAACUUCGCG
rnacentral:rRNA from 1 species